UUUGAUCCUGGCUCAGAUUGAACGCUGGCGGCAUGCCUUACACAUGCAAGUCGAACGGCAGCACGGAGCUUGCUCUGGUGGCGAGUGGCGAACGGGUGAGUAAUAUAUCGGAACGUACCCUGGAGUGGGGGAUAACGUAGCGAAAGUUACGCUAAUACCGCAUACGAUCUACGGAUGAAAGUGGGGGAUUCGCAAGAACCUCAUGCUCGUGGAGCGGCCGAUAUCUGAUUAGCUAGUUGGUAGGGUAAAAGCCUACCAAGGCAUCGAUCAGUAGCUGGUCUGAGAGGACGACCAGCCACACUGGAACUGAGACACGGUCCAGACUCCUACGGGAGGCAGCAGUGGGGAAUUUUGGACAAUGGGCGAAAGCCUGAUCCAGCAAUGCCGCGUGAGUGAAGAAGGCCUUCGGGUUGUAAAGCUCUUUUGUCAGGGAAGAAACGGUUGUCUCUAAUACAGAUGGCUAAUGACGGUACCUGAAGAAUAAGCACCGGCUAACUACGUGCCAGCAGCCGCGGUAAU
rnacentral:rRNA from 1 species